GGGUGCGAUCAUACCAGCACUAAAGCACCGGAUCCCAUCAGAACUCCGAAGUUAAGCGUGCUUGGGCGAGUGUAGUACUAGGAUGGGUGACCUCCUGGGAAGUCCUCGUGUUGCACCCCU
rnacentral:rRNA from 1 species